ACGGGUGAGUAACACGUAGGCAACCUGCCCUCAAGUUUGGGACAACUACCGGAAACGGUAGCUAAUACCGAAUAAUUGUUUUCUUCGCCUGAAGAGAACUGGAAAGACGGAGCAAUCUGUCACUUGGGGAUGGGCCUGCGGCGCAUUAGCUAGUUGGUGAGGUAACGGCUCACCAAGGCGACGAUGCGUAGCCGACCUGAGAGGGUGAUCGGCCACACUGGGACUGAGACACGGCCCAGACUCCUACGGGAGGCAGCAGUAGGGAAUCUUCCGCAAUGGGCGAAAGCCUGACGGAGCAAUGCCGCGUGAGUGAUGAAGGUUUUCGGAUCGUAAAGCUCUGUUGCCAGGGAAGAACGCUUGGGAGAGUAACUGCUCUCAAGGUGACGGUACCUGAGAAGAAAGCCCCGGCUAACUACGUGCCAGCAGCCGCGGUAAUACGUAGGGGGCAAGCGUUGUCCGGAAUUAUUGGG
rnacentral:rRNA from 1 species